rnacentral:rRNA from 1 species
AACGAACGCUGGCGGCAGGCUUAACACAUGCAAGUCGAACGGGCAUAGCAAUAUGUCAGUGGCAGACGGGUGAGUAACACGUGGGAACCUUCCUAGAGGUACGGAACAACGCAGGGAAACUUGUGCUAAUACCGUAUACGCUCGAGAGAGGAAAGAUUUAUCGCCUUUAGACGGGCCCGCGUAGGAUUAGGUAGUUGGUGAGGUAACGGCUCACCAAGCCUACGAUCCUUAGCUGAGCUGAGAGGAUGAUCAGCCACACUGGGACUGAGACACGGCCCAGACUCCUACGGGAGGCAGCAGUGGGGAAUAUUGGACAAUGGGCGCAAGCCUGAUCCAGCCAUGCCGCGUGAGUGAUGAAGGCCUUAGGGUUGUAAAGCUCUUUUGUCCGGGACGAUAAUGACGGUACCGGAAGAAUAAGCCCCGGCUAACUUCGUGCCAGCCGCCGCAGUAAGAC